GCAUAUCAAUAAGCGGAAGGAAAAGAAACUAACAAGGAUUCCCCUAGUAACUGCGAGUGAAGCGGGAAAAGCUCAAAUUUAAAAUCUGGCGGUCUUCGAUCGUCCGAGUUGUAGUCUGGAGAAGCGUCUUCCGCGCUGGACCGUGUACAAGUCUCUUGGAACAGAGCGUCGUAGAGGGUGAGAAUCCCGUCUUUGACACGGACUACCAGUGCUUUGUGAUGCGCUCUCAAAGAGUCGAGUUGUUUGGGAAUGCAGCUCAAAAUGGGUGGUAAAUUCCAUCUAAAGCUAAAUAUUGGCGAGAGACCGAUAGCGAACAAGUACCGUGAGGGAAAGAUGAAAAGCACUUUGGAAAGAGAGUUAAACAGUACGUGAAAUUGCUGAAAGGGAAACGAUUGAAGUCAGUCGCGUCGUCUAGAACUCAACCUUGCCUCGGCUCGGUGCAUUUUCUAGUUGACGGGCCAGCAUCAGUUUUGACCGUUGGAAAAAAGGUCCUUGGAAUGUGGCACCUUCGGGUGUGUUAUAGCCUUGGGUCGUAUACGACGGUUGGGACUGAGGACCGCAGCACGCCUUUAUGGCCGGGGUUCGCCCACGUACGUGCUUAGGAUGCUGGCGUAAUGGCUUUAAACGACCCGUCUUGAAACACGGACCAAGGAGUCUAACAUGCCUGCGAGUGUUUGGGUGGUAAACCCGAGCGCGUAACGAAAGUGAAAGUUGGGAUCCCUGUCGUGGGGAGCACCGACGCCCACACCAGACCUUCUGUGACGGAUGUGCGGUUGAGCAUGUAUGUUGGGACCCGAAAGAUGGUGAACUAUGCCUGAAUAGGGUGAAGCCAGAGGAAACUCUGGUGGAGGCUCGUAGCGAUUCUGACGUGCAAAUCGAUCGUCAAUUUGGUAUAGGGGCGAAAGACUAUCGAACAUCUAGUAGCUGGUCUGCGA
rnacentral:rRNA from 1 species